CACAAAUCCCCAGUGGAGUUUCCCAUCUACUCCAAAUUAUCUCUAAAAACAAAAUGGCGUAGAGCGGUGGAGACCGUGGUGUUAGCGACAACAAAAAAACAACAUCCACGGGACCCGUACAAACGACCGAUGGACAACACCCGGGACAUUAGCGUUUACUGAUGAUUUGUGGCGGCUUGGAUGUCUUUCGUCUUUCUCUCCAGCUUCCAGACAAGAUCUUCCCCUGACAGUGCAACAUCUGAACAUGUCCAUAAUUUGACAAAGAUGCAAACUAAAUGAGUGCCAGACUGCCAGGUGUGGGGGAACUGUCCUGCGAACCACAGGUCUCCUGUGUGAGACAGGUCUGGAUUUAGGGCAUCAUCACCCAAAAGUCAAGCUCCACAGCUGUUGAAACCAGAGCUGGAUCAAAGUCUGUGUCAACAUCAAUGGAUCAAGAUAUCAACCUCCUCCUCUCUUUAGUGAAGAGAGGACCGCUCUGGAAAUGUGUGGGUUACAGGAGAGACUGGCUACCACCUCUGUCUGUCUCUUCACCCCUCACCUAGCUGUCUGUCUCUUCACCCCUCACCUAGCUGUCUGUCUCUUCACCCCUCACCUAGCUGUCUGUCUGUCUCUUCACCCCUCACCGUCUGUCUCCUCACCCCUCUCCUCACCUAGCUGUCUCUCCUCUCUCCUCUCCUCACCUAGCUGUCUCCUUUCCACCGCUCCUUAUAGCCAAUGAUGAUGAUAACUGUAAGGUCAGGGACCGUAUCCACAAAGUGUCUCUAAGUAGGGAGUGCUGAUCUAGCAUCAGUUUGAGUUUUAGAUCAGAAUGAAUCAGAUUGUAUAGACGGAUCCUAGAUCAGAUUGUAUAGACUGAUCCUAGAUCAGCGUUCUUACUCUCCACCACUCCUUGUAGCCAAUCCUGAUGAUAUAUUUGAAGUUUGAUCCAAUUUCUUUCAUAACUAGGGGGUCAAACAGAAAUUGUGUCGUCUUACUGCCCAAUUUGACCUCUACUCUUCUGUUGUCUGAACCAAGGCAAUUCACCAUUUUAUAAUCAAUGUAUCUAGCUAUAGAUCUAGAUGUACUGGGAUCAGUGGUUUGUUGUUUUUCCUGAAUGCCCUUAUCCCCAACCUUUUACAAACGGAGUAAAACUUUUAGUAGACACUGUAGCAAAGAUCUGGUAUAGCUCCUGUAGUCUCAGACACUACAGCCACAGAGUAAAGUUUUGUCUAAGUAUUAUGCAAUAUUCUGAGACACUCAUCUGGCUCUGUGAGAUUUAGAUUAGCAAUCCACAUGAUAGUUGAAAGAUGGAAAUAUCUCUCUACCUCAUUGACAUGUUUGGCACCAUGACAAGUUGGUGUUUUUCUACAUGAUGGAAACGCUGUAGAGGCCAACAGCAGAACACUAGUGCCCGUCCUACAGAGCUAGGCUAAUGAAUAUCAUAUGCCUUCCCUUAGACUUCACGUCAUAUAAAGUACGUACCAUAAAACCUACUGUGCCAAAAUUUACAGGACACAAUUCAUACUUCGUUCACCCCCCCCCCCCCCCCAUUUUUCCAGAAUUAUUUCAAUAACCUUACCAACGGUGUAUGAAUGAUACAAAUCAGAUCAGGGUAGAUGUAGUUAGUUAGGGCCAAUCACUAUGUUUUGUGCCCUCAUAAUAACCUUUUUUUUUUUUUUUUUUUGAUUUGAUUAUGACCUGUUUUGGUUAAAACAUUUGUGAUCCACCUUCCUUCCGGGAUCUGUGCAAUAUGUUAUCUCAUUACCUGUCUUGUUUAUCUAAUAUGUAUAUUGUAUGAACAAGUGAACAAGUUGUUUUGAAAACAACAAAAUCACCAACGUCUUCCAUUUUUAAGAAACAUUGUAGUCUUCAUAUAUAUAGAGGGAUUGUGGUGCCCAAUAUAACUAGCCAUGCAUGAAAAGUAGCUAGUGAUGCUUGCUUACUAAGAGAAUUCUAGAGAGAAUGAUUUCUAAAAACAGACAGAACACAUUUGGCUACUAACUGGGAGAUUGAAUUGAAAAUAUCUAUUCAGACUGAGAGAGAAAAAAAAAUGGUAUAACAUCUAUUUUCUAAACUGUGUUCUAUAGAAUGAACACUUAGGAAUCAGACAUGAAGCAUUGACAUCCAGUGGGUUAGUCAUUGACCAAUAAAAUACCAAUGUCUGAACUCUUCUAUGGAUGGACAGAUUAAAAGGAAUGUGUCACGAGAAUUUUCAAUCCGAAUGAUAACUAACAAUUAUUUAAUAUACCCGUAGAAGGAUACCUCAGUCUGGAAUGCAAACUUUUUUGUUCAGAAUAUAUUUAGUAAAAAGCAAGCCAUAACAUGUAUUUGAUUAGACAUUUUUAGAAGCAAUAACAAUUAUGCAUGAUUUGUGUAUUUUUUAAAAAAAUCUGUUUUUUAAAGGAAUUUUUAGGAUAUUAUUAGCUAUAAAUCAACAUUUUGUUUAGAGGGAAGUGUAUUAAAUAUACUCCUGCUUCAGAAUACAGUAUGUUCUAAGGAAGAACCAGCUGGACAUAAAGUACCACACAGAAACAAAGGGAGGCAGGUAGCCUAGUGGUUAGAGCGUUGGACUAGUAACCGAAAGGUUGCUUGAUCGAAUCCCCGAUCUGACAAGGUAAAAUAAAUCUGUCGUUCUGCCCCUGAACAAGGCAGUUAACCCACCGUUCCCCGGUAGGCCGUCAUUGAAAAUAAGAAUUUGAUCUUAACUGACUUGCCUAGUUAAAUUUUAAAAAACGGAAACAAAAGGCUGCAGUUUGGUUUGACAAAAACAAGUGUGUAUUCUUGGGGAAACUCUAUUCAGGCUUGUGUCCUAAAUAGGACUCUGCAUUUUUUGGGGGGGGGCUCUGGUCAAAAGUAGUGCACUUUUAUACGGAAUAGGGUCCCAUUUGGGAAGUAGCAUCAUUCAUACAGUAGUGUUGAUUUUAGGUGGCCUAUUUUAAUGCCUCUCGUUUUUCCAUUCUGUUACAUUGUUCCACCAUUGUCCAGAUCAAACUAUCACAUAUAUACAUGUCUGUUAUACAUCUUUCCUAAUAAUUGAAAGCAAUAGAUGCCUCAAGGAGAACACUGUAAAGCAUUUAUUGCUACCAUCCUCCUGUCUUGAAUACUGUUUAAAAAAAAAAAAUAUUUAAUGUGGCAAUGGUCUGGAUCAGUACAUUUAGAAUGCACAAAAAGAUUAUGCAUGAUUAAGUAAAAGUAAUUCAUUUGUAUUGCAUGCAAUAAUACAACUUUUCAUUUGUGUUGCUCAAUAGAGCCAUGAUACUGAAAUGUUUGCUAUUAGUACGUUGACAUGUCUUGAAUAACAGGGAUUGUUGUUGACAUUACAGGGAACACAAUGUAAACCACUUGUUCUGAUCAAAAUUACUUUUGAUGUUACAAUGUUGAUCAUAGCCUAAAAUCCAGUCGGUGUGAAAUGAUAGCACAACCUGUGGAAUAAUGGCACAAAGACUGUAUUGAUCAACUCGUAACCAACAGAAUGAGUGUACUGUGGUUUAACUAUGCAGUCCAGAGGCCCUGGACAUGCUGGAACCAGCCUCUGUCUUGUAUCAACUGAAGAAUCUGCAAUAAAAAGCAACAUGGUGCCAAUGAA